rnacentral:lncRNA from 1 species
CCUCUGCAAGUUGUUUACCAAUGCGACAAAUGGCGCAGCGGAGCUUGCUGCAUACUGCAUCUUGCUGCACA